ensembl:lncRNA
AUCCAAUCAACUUGGAGAAUAAAUGUGCUUCCUUCUCUGGGAUCUCAAAUAUGUUUCAGCUGUUGGAUGACUGAUUCAUACAGGGCUUGAGGACAAAAGCCAGCCAGCUCCUCAGGGCAGAUCACCUUUAAACACACAAACUGUAUGUGUUAGUUCUUUGCGAAUUUGGUCCUCAUCCUGACUCUGGAGAACUUGGAAACACGGAGAACAACAGAAUAGUAAAUAUUACACAUAAGGAACCCAUUUCCUUUGUUGGGAUUGGAGAAAUGGCAUUUGCCAGAGAUGAUGGUUUUUAAUCUAAUAAAAGCAAUCAAACCAUUAACAAUAAUAAACAAUUCCUUUUCUGUUUUUUCCUCCCUCCAUUUUGCAUGUCACGAGAUGAGUAGCUGAGAUUCUUAUGCACUAACAUCAGUUCCCUUUUGGGGGCCUCAACACGGUUCCAGAGAUCUACUGGUGGCUCCACUGGGGAGCCCCCCUCCAGCAAGCUGCCCCCCUGAAGAUCUACCUAUUAAGAAAAAGCCCAGGCAGAGCACAGUGAGUUGGCUGGUCAGCCUGGUACUUGCCAUUUGCCGUGUAUGCAGUAGGUGGUGAGUUUGUCGAGACGAGCUUAGAGAAUUGUUACUGAGGAAGGCUCUAUGAGGUCCUAAGGUUUUUGCUUCUUCAUUCAAAUUACAAAAGGGAUCUCAAGAGACCCUUGCAUUGAACAGAUGAAACUACUCCGCUCCUCAGGGCAAUUAGGUAGGUAUAGAACUUGAAGAGCAAAGCUGUACAAUUUCUAACUCAUGACGAACAUGUGAAACCUGUCCGUUCUUCUACUAUUCACUUCAUAUCCAUUCCUCAAAAUUCCUUUUAAUAGUGCUUAUAGUAUAUGUGUGUAUAUAUAUAUAUAUAUCAUCUAAAAGCCAUUUUUGCAUGUGUUGGUUGUAUAGAACAUCAAAGCAAUAUAUAGCUUGUUUCUUGUUUUUUGAUUUUCUCAUAUAUUCUUGGGCUUUCCAUUAUUCACUACCUAUAUGAAUCACAGAAGUACUACA